rnacentral:ncRNA from 1 species
AGUAGUCUUCAGGGCUGGGUGAGAUUCCCGACCGGCGGUAAUUUUCUUUCUUCUUUUAUUUAAGAAACUUCAGAUUGUUUCUUUUGACUUGCCGAAUGUUGGUUUUGCUGAUGGUACAUGGUCUAAGGUGGUUUCAAAGUAGAAGAUGUAUGGUUACAAUGCUUUAUAAAGAAAUAAGUCCGCGAGCGUAAGCUGAUGUGGUGAGAUUCCACAACCGACAGUAUAGUCUGGAUGGGAGAAGACGAAA